UGCAGCUUGGGGACCUCGGCUAGGGAAUCGGGGCGGGCCAACCCCGGGAGGCUCCUGCCUGGAACCUGGGGCUUCCCACGCGGGAGGUAGGUGCAGGGGCCGCAGUGGGGUCGAACGCCGGGCUCAGGGGCUCCUGCUCCCCGAUGUUACUCGCAUUACCCCGGGCCGCGCGUUGCCAGCAGCCAGGCCUCGGCACCGCCACUACGCGGCGAGAGAACGAGCCCCCGCGCCGAGCGUGCUGGCGCGCGGAGAGCUGGGUCGCCCACUCGGACCCCCGCUCCGGCUCGGGGCCCCCGGAAACCACAAGUCCCAGGUUGCCCGGCGCGGGCGGGUCACGCGGGAGGGGCGGUGGCGCGGCUCAGGAGCCUCUGUCGGCCAUUUUGUGGAGCACCCGCCGCGGCCGCCUCUUCUCCUGCGCCCGCCGCCGCCGCCUCCCCCGCCGCCUGCCUCCUGCCGCCCGCGCCGCCGCCCCCGCCGAGCCCAGCCCCGCCGAAGCGGCCCCGAGCGCAUUUUCAUUUUCUCGCCGCUGCAGCCUCUUGACAACGGUGAUCCGGGCGGGCCCCGCAGGAAUUUUACCCCCUCGCUGNACAGGCCGUCGGGCUGUCUCUGGGCAGUCGGGGCUCUCUACGUGCGGAGUCAUUUACCCCUUUGCUGAUGCAACUAAGGGUGACGACUUACUCCCGGCAGGGACUGAGGAUUACAUUCAUAUAAGAAUCCAGCAACGGAACGGCAGAAAGACAUUGACUACUGUUCAGGGCAUUGCAGAUGAUUAUGACAAAAAGAAACUUGUGAAAGCUUUCAAAAAGAAAUUUGCCUGUAAUGGUACUGUGAUUGAGCAUCCCGAAUACGGAGAGGUUAUUCAGCUUCAAGGUGACCAAAGGAAAAACAUUUGCCAGUUUCUCUUGGAGGUUGGCAUUGUCAAGGAGGAACAGCUGAAGGUUCAUGGAUUCUAAAAUGAACCUAAAAACGUGGAGAAUUUCUUGAAUAAUUUUGUUGUCUGAACCUAGUUUGGCUGCCUUGUGAAAUGAUUCCCUGCAGUAAACGGACUUUUCAUUUAUUCAGUCAUUCAAACUUCCAUUCACAUCUGCAUGAUUACAGGAAACAUGGGGUUAGCGUGCAGCUACUGGACACACACCCCUUAGAGGUACUACCACAGGACUCACUUGGAAGACCAAUUGCAAUAAAAGUAAAGAUGACUAACCUGCAGCUCUGCGGACUCAGGUGCUCAUGGAGGCCCUGCCUUACCUGCAUGAUCACCUCCUUGAAAAUACCCUGUCUCCUUUGAUCCUUUCUCCUUCCUUUGUACUCAUUUGUCAAAACUCCAGCCCUUGUUAAACAACCGCUGACUCUGCAUCUACUCAGAGCAACUGAAGGAUUUUCUUCCUUUCCCUUCCCACCCAGUGUUGCACAGCUGAAGGCUUUGCCUCAUCCACCACUGAGUAUUUGAGGCUCCCUCAUUUCUCCACCUCCAAACCUUCCCUUCUAAGAUAAUGGUGCACUCUCUGUCUUCUGUCCUGUUUGUAUUAGAUGAAGUGUACUUGCUAACAUCAAAACCAACCCCUCCAGUUGUGUCCCAGGUGAUGUCCACUCUCCUCCAUGAAUUACCACUGUAAUUACUCUCUUCUAAUCAGCAAUUUCUUUCUCCCCACUGAAUCCUUUUCAUCAGAUACAUCAGAUAGAAAUGCCCUUUAAUAUCUCAAAGAGAAGAAAAGAAAACCUCUCUGGAUCACAUACCCUCUUCAGCUACUAAGCAGCUGGCUUGACAUCGUUUGGAUGUGUAACAGGCAUCUCAAAAUCAAUGCAACUGAUGUGAGAACAUUAACUCCAUCCUCCACCACAGUCUCUUUUACCAGUCUGCCUUGUCUAAGUAGAUGGCACCACCAUCCUAAGAGCUCAAGCCUAAAACUUAACUUUGAAUCUCCCUUUCCUUUACUCCUUGAAUCCCUAUCCUAUUUAAUGAAGUCUUACUGUUUCUAUAUGCAAAAUAUAUCUAUAUCCAUCCUCCCGCACCCACAUCUCCUGACUAGUCCAGCCUACUUCAAGCCUUCAGUAUCUUUCACCUGCACUAUUGCAGUGACUCCUCCAAAUGGUGGUCUUCUUGUAUACACUGACCACACAAAGAAGCCUGAGGAUUCUUUAUAAAAUUCACAUAGAUUGCGUCAGUUCUCUGCACAAAAUCUUCUGAAGGUUUCUCACUGUGCUUAAUACUAAAUCCAAACAUAUUACAGUGGCUUAUAGGAUCCCUCUGGCCUGUUCCUUGCCUACCUUCUGUUCUCACCACCUACCCUUCUGACUCCACCGCACUUCCAAACACACUGGUCCUCAUCUGCAGUGAACGUGUACUUGAUGUUCACUUCCCCUCAGAUGCUCUGCCCUUUUUCCAUCUUACUGCUUGUCCCUCAAUUUUAUCUCAACCUCAAGGAGGCCAUCCAUGACUACCCCAUCUAAAGAAGCCCCCUACCAUCCAUUGUUAAGAGGCACUCUGUAUUUUGCUCUCUUUGCUAUAGUUAUCUUUAUCCAAAAAUAUCUUGCUCAUUUGUUUUUGCCAGUUUACUUUCUAUCUCCCCACUGCUAACAUAAUAUAAGUCAUGUAAGAAACGUUUGUAAGAGAUGCUGUCAAUACCUCCCCAUAUCCCCUUGGCACUCACAUUCCCAUGCUAGUUCACUGGGCGCUCCAGUUACAAGUGUCUGUGACCUUUGCUCAAGUGCUUUCUCUGGUCACAGGAGCACCCUGAGCCCACACAGGGCAGGAUGGAAGUCCUGGGGAGUUGACACCUGCCUUCGCCUCUGCUUCAGAGGCCCUCAACCAACAACUGAUGGGAGUUGCAGGUUUGCCGCGAGGGGGCGCCUCCUCCCGAGCUGAGAGCGCGCGUCUUCCGCCGUUCACCACAGCCCCCAGGGGGGUGCCUGUGCCCAAACCCCUGACCCGCGCGGCGCACGCGCGCUGGUGCCUUGGACUUGGCUCCGCGUAGGGCAGACCGGAGCCGGAGCCGCGACUGCUUGCGGGCAGGACCGACGGCGGGAGAGAAAGGUCCUACUCAACACCCAAGGCCCAGUGGCUGCAGGGGAAUCCUCCCACUUGCCUCCUGAUCACACUUGGAACCCUGCAAGAAGAGUAGACCUCCACUUCGUGUGAACUGGCCUCUAUGAUGGGGUUGUUAUGUCUGCUCUGCUGUUUUUGAGGGACUGACGCGGUUGUUUUGAAAAGUAAUUUACUUUCCAGACAUGUCAGGCAUACAGAAAAUUUGCAGUGUCAGUACAAAUACUCUUACCUCUGUUCCCCGCAGCCCCACUUUACCACACUUACCACUUCACACUUGCCAUACUAGUGUGUGUGAAGGUGUGUCAGUGUGGUUUUAAUUCACAUUUCCAUAACUACACCUUUUCAUGUGCUUGUAGACCAUUUAUAUGUCUUAUCUGGUGUCUUUUGUCCAUUUUAAAAGUUGGGUGUCUUCUUGUUGAGGUACAAGAUCUCCAUGUUUCCUAGGUAACAGGCUCAUCAUAUGUACAGUGUGCAAAUAUAUUCUUCCAUUCUGUGGCUUUUUCUGGUUGGCGUCUUUUGAUGCAGAAACAUUUUUUUAAUUUUGAGGAAAUCUAUCUAUUCUUUCAUUGCUUGUACUUUGGUGUCACAUCUAAGAAGCCAUUGCUAAAUCCAACAUCAUGAAGAUUAUGUCCAUCUACUCUUCUAAAGUUUAUCAUUUUACCUGUUACAUUUAAGCCUUUUAUCUAUUUUGAGUUAAUUUUUAUAUAUGGUGUGAGUUAAGGGUUCAGUUUUAUUCCUCCACACGUGGAUAGCCAGUUACCGAGCACCAUUUGAUGAAAAAACCAUUAUUUCCCCAAAUUAAUGCUGUCUACCUUUGUCAGAAAUCAAGUGAGUGUAGAUGGUUGGGGUUAUUUCUGGGCUUUCCAUUCACUUCCAUUGAUCUACAUAUACUGUAUUACAUACUGUGUUCUUAAAAUAAACUAAAGAAAAGAAAA